GAAUGUGAGGGUGAUCUGACUAUGACAUCUAUCACGCUGUUGACUGCUAGGGUUGAUUCAGCUGGCCUGAACAGCCAGUCAGAUAUCCUCUUCCUCUUUCAACACUCCAUGUGGAUCCCACUCAAAACUUCCCAAAGAUAGAAAAAUUAAUUGUUUUCAGUGAAGGGUAUAGAAGUAGCUUUGCUCCCCCACUGGAACCUCCAAACAAAUAAAUUCUCAAGCUCCAUUCUAACUUUUCAUAAUUCAUUCAUUUAUUCCUUUCACAGGCUCUUGCUGAAGGUCCAAU
rnacentral:snRNA from 1 species